AGUGAACGCUGGCGGUAGGCCUAACACAUGCAAGUCGAACGGCAGCACAGUAAGAGCUUGCCCUUACGGGUGGCGAGUGGCGGACGGGUGAGGAAUACAUCGGAAUCUACUUUUUCGUGGGGGAUAACGUAGGGAAACUUACGCUAAUACCGCAUACGACCUACGGGUGAAAGCAGGGGAUCUUCGGACCUUGCGCGAUUGAAUGAGCCGAUGUCGGGUUAGCUAGUUGGCGGGGUAAAGGCCCACCAAGGCGACGAUCCGUAGCUGGUCUGAGAGGAUGAUCAGCCACACUGGAACUGAGACACGGUCCAGACUCCUACGGGAGGCAGCAGUGGGGAAUAUUGGACAAUGGGCGCAAGCCUGAUCCAGCCAUACCGCGUGGGUGAAGAAGGCCUUCGGGUUGUAAAGCCCUUUUGUUGGGAAAGAAAAGCAGCAGGUUAAUACCCCGCUGUUCUGACGGUACCCAAAGAAUAAGCACCGGCUAACUUCGUG
rnacentral:rRNA from 1 species